UACGGGGGGGCAAGCGUUGUUCGGAAUUACUGGGCGUAAAGGGCUCGUAGGCUGCCAACUAAGUCAGACGUGAAAUCCCUCGGCUUAACCGGGGAACUGCGUCUGAUACUGGAUGGCUUGAGUUUGGGAGAGGGAUGCGGAAUUCCAGGUGUAGCGGUGAAAUGCGUAGAUAUCUGGAGGAACACCGGUGGCGAAGGCGGCAUCCUGGACCAACACUGACGCUGAGUGAGCGAAAGCCAGGGGAGCAAACGGG
rnacentral:rRNA from 1 species